GGUUGUGGCUCAGUGGCAGAGCGCUUGCCUGGUGCACGUGAGGCCCUGGGUUCAAUCCUCAGCACCA
rnacentral:tRNA from 1 species